GUUGACAGUCACAUUCAUGUGUUACAUAAAGAGCAGGAUAAAGGACUGAGCCCUGUGCAUGCUGCUGGGAGCCGUGUCUUGACCGUCCAGCUCAGGAGAACCGUAGAACAGCCUUAAUUUUAUCAAAAGCACAGACAGGCUGAGAGGAAAGAUGGCGGCUUCCUUGCUGA